UCGAAUCAUUUGAAUUUUAAUGUGAUUUGAAAUUUGAAGUUUUUCAAAAGGUUCUAAUAAAAUCAUUGCCAAGUUGAUAAAUAAUAGCAAGGCGAACAAAAAAAAUGUAAAUCAGAGUAUUUUAAAAGAAGUUGAUAAAUUUAGGGGAAGAACAACUUCGAAGGAGAAUAAUAGUUGAAAAUAAAUAAGGAAAAGCCUCAGAUUAGCAUAUUGGCACAUUCAUCAAAGCAAACAACAACCCAUGUAGAUGGAUCUACACGGUGCGCUUUAUUUGUUGUUGCAGCUCUUGCCCAUUUCUUCUCCUCAUCAGCUUUUUUUUCCCCUCAAAUCGUAAUAAAUAAAUUAAACAAAAACAAAUCCACUGAUAAUUUCCAAAAUAUUUUCAUAAAUUUGAAGAAAAAACAUUAAUAAUAAAGUCAGGUGAUAUUUUCGAAACUCACUUAAAAGCAAGAUCGUCGCUAGAAAAAUGAAGAUCGGUUGCCAUCAACGACUGGAGAAGAUGAACUCAAAAGGGAAGAUUAUAUGGAAGCUAUGCGGGGAUU
rnacentral:lncRNA from 1 species